rnacentral:lncRNA from 1 species
UGACUGUUGGCUUGUACGGAUAGUCUUGCUUUUGCUCAGUCGUAUCACUUCUCACAGAACAAGUGAUCCAAACCCAUUAUCUGUUUAUUUCAAGAACACAGAUUACUUAAAGGUAGGGGUGUUUGUGACAGAAAGGUCAUUGCUAUUGAAGGGAAGACAGGAGAAGGAGAUGAUUUUGAGGAUUCUUUGUGGCUGGGACACAACUUGGAAUUUGAGGGAAGCGACAACUCCUGCUCUAUUAGGGAAUGCACUUACGACCUUGCUGAGGCUGAGGCCGUGCACAGUUUUUCCUCAGACAACCAAAGAGUGGGGCUUAAUGAGAUCUUGAUUUGCAAUGAAGUGAGAGAAACCCGCUCCUGUCUCUGUAUGCCUACAUCGGCCCAGUGUGAUGGAGAAGUGGAAUGGUACCAUUGGGAGGAAGAAGCUCCACCUUGACCACGUCCAGCGCUCUCCAACAGUCCCAUUUGAAACACUUCUGAGACCUUUCCUCAGCCACACUGGACAUUCUGCUUUAAAGGAAAAGGACUCAUGUACAUGGUGACUUUUCCAUGUCCACCUUAUUUUUAGCAUCCAAUUAAUGUUUCCCAGAUGAGCUUAAUUUUCCGGUUUGGGGUUGGCUAUAGUUUUCACAGAGGCUGCUUUAGGCAAGAACUAUUGUUUGGAGUCGAACUUAUUAAUCGGCA